UACGGGGGGUGCAAGCGUUGUUCGGAUUUACUGGGCGUAAAGGGCGCGUAGGCGGCGCAACAAGUCACUUGUGAAAUCUCCGGGCUUAACCCGGAGCGGCCAAGUGAUACUGUCGUGCUAGAGUGCGGAAGGGGCUACUGGAAUUCUCGGUGUAGCGGUGAAAUGCGUAGAUAUCGGGAGGAACACCUGCGGCGAAGGCGGGUAGCUGGGCCGACACUGACGCUGAGGCGCGAAAGCCAGGGGAGCGAACGGG
rnacentral:rRNA from 1 species